GUCAUAUGCUUGUCUCAAAGAUUAAGCCAUGCAUGUCUCAGUACAAGCCAAAUUAAGGUGAAACCGCGAAAGGCUCAUUAAAUCAGUUAUGGUUCCUUAGAUCGUACCCACAAUUACUAGGAUAACUGUGGUAAUUCUAGAGCUAAUACAUGCAAACAGAGCUCCGACCGGAGACGGAAGGAGUGCUUUUAUUAGAUCAAGACCAAUCGGUGGCGGGUUCGCUCGUUAUCGUACAACUUGGUGACUCUGAAUAACUUUACGCUGAUCGCACGGUCAUCGCACCGGCGACGCAUCUUUCAAAUGUCUGCCUUAUCAACUGUCGAUGGUAGGUUCUGCGCCUACCAUGGUUGUAACGGGUAACGGGGAAUCAGGGUUCGAUUCCGGAGAGGGAGCCUGAGAAACGGCUACCACAUCCAAGGAAGGCAGCAGGCGCGCAAAUUACCCACUCCCGGCACGGGGAGGUAGUGACGAAAAAUAACGAUACGGGACUCAUCCGAGGCCCCGUAAUCGGAAUGAGUACACUCUAAACCCUUUAACGAGGAUCAAUUGGAGGGCAAGUCUGGUGCCAGCAGCCGCGG
rnacentral:rRNA from 1 species